rnacentral:lncRNA from 1 species
AUGCCAACAGACACAUCAACCACUCCACCAACAACAACAACCCCAAUGACAACAAUGGCAACAACAACAACAACAACAACAACGACUACAACUACAACAACAACUACACCUGCAAUACCGCUUAAAAUUACGUUGUUAACCAUAUCCUUCAAACUGAAUGAUAUUUUCACAGCUGACUUAAUGAAUGAAAGUAGUUCCAAAUAUUUAAAGUAUAAAAACGAUAUUCAACCAGUUAUCCAGGCACAGUAUCAGAGUAACCUUCCAGGGUUUAUUUCAGCAGCACUGACAGGUUUUAGGUAGGUUUUCUGAUCCACUGUUGUUAUUCAAGUAAUGUCUAUUCAACAUGCAUAUAUUUGUAUUCUCUCUGUUUCUUGUUAACAGACCCGGAAGUGUUAUAGUCGGCUUUUCAGUUCUGACCACAGGUGCAAACCAAACUGAAAUUAAUAACGCCAAUAAUGGACUUGCAACAUCACUUCCAGCUGCUUAUCAAGUUAUUCUCAACUCUUUUGUUGUUGUUUCUAAUGGUGAGUCUGUGAAUACACUUAUUAAAUAAUAUUAUUGCCGGUCAUAAUGACCAAGAGAAAUAUAUUUUUUGUAUAAUUACUAACUGUUGAAUCAAUGCCAACAGACACAUCAACCACUCCACCAACAACAACAACCCCAAUGACAACAACGGCAACAACAACAACAACAACAACAACCCAAACAACAACAACCCCAACAACAACUCCAAAACCACCAGUUGGUAUGUGUUUAAAAUAUUUAUAUACAAUCAAUAAAUGAUUAUAUACAGAAUGAUGUGGGAAAAUAUU